rnacentral:rRNA from 1 species
UGCCUCAGUAACGGCGAGUGAAGCGGCAACAGCUCAAAUUUGAAAUCUGGCCGCAAGGUCCGAGUUGUAAUUUGCAGAGGAUGCUUUUGGCGAGGUGCCUUCCGAGUUCCCUGGAACGGGACGCCAUAGAGGGUGAGAGCCCCGUACGGUAGGACCACCGAGCCUUUGUAAAGCUCCUUCGACGAGUCGAGUAGUUUGGGAAUGCUGCUCUAAAUGGGAGGUGUACGUCUUCUAAAGCUAAAUACCGGCCAGAGACCGAUAGCGCACAAGUAGAGUGAUCGAAAGAUGAAAAGCACUUUGAAAAGAGGGUUAAAAAGUACGUGAAAUUGUUGAAAGGGAAGCAUUCAUGACCAGACUUGGGCUUGGUUGAACAUCCGGCGUUCUCGCCGGUGCACUCUGCCAGUCCAGGCCAGCAUCAGUUUGCCCCGGGGGACAAAGGCGGUGGGAAUGUGGCUCUCUCCGGGGAGUGUUAUAGCCCGCCGUGUAAUGCCCUGGGGCGGACUGAGGAACGCGCUUCGGCUCGGAUGCUGGCGUAAUGGUCAUCAAUGACCCGUCUUGAAACACGGACCAAGGAGUCGUCUUCGUAUGCGAGUGUUCGGGUGUCAAACCCCUACGCGAAAUGAAAGUGAACGUAGGUGAGAGC